CAGCGCCAUCUGGAGUCACAAUGUCUAAUAGUCACACAAUUAGAACCUAUUGUAAUGUUGAUCGUUGUUGAGCUAAGCCUUUUGUCUUACUUCUGCAAAAAAAUUGUAAAUUAAAAGAACUUUAUAACACAGUGGUAAAACAUUCUGGUAUUACAUUUCGUGUAAUAUUAAACUCUGGGUUUUAAUAGCUGAAGAUCAGAGAAUUUGGUCUAAUACGUGAUUUUUGGGCCCUCUCAUUUCUAUGUUGCAGAAACCACAGCCAGCUCUACAGAGUUGGACCACGUUCAGAAUUUAAUUCAAAGUAAAAUGCAGAACUUGAAAGAAUUUAGUAUUGUGUCAAUGUUAAAGUUUUCCCACAAGUCUGAAUGAGAUCCAGGCACAAGGGUAAAAAAUGUGACCAUCCUGUAAAUUUUAGGACAUGUUUGGAAUCUCAGACCAAACUACUAUGUUACAGGUGGCAUUCAUAUCACCCAAUUCUCUCUUAAAAAAACAAACAAAAAAAACAAAACAUUUUCACUGCUGAUAUGAUGAGAUGGACAAAAUUAACGUUAACAUUGAGUUCAAGAAACAUUUUUUAUUCCACAUUUCUCUUUGAUAAUAAACAAUGUUUGUACGUUACUCUCUUUACUCUAUAAGUAAGAUAAAAGAGAGAUUGCAGUUUGCAAUUAAACUAAAACUGAAGUAUUUUGCUUCAGACACUGACCCUAAGCUGUUUAGGAUUUUACGAACUCAUCGGCAAAAACAAAAUAGACCUGAGAUGUUUCAACAGAUGUUCGCUUUUGUUUUUUUACUGCUAAUAACAUGCAUUAUUGUCCUUCAUAUCUUUAAUGAUAGGAUUCCCACCAAAUACGACAGUGCUCCGCAUUUUGAAACGAUGCUUGGGUUUAACCAGACGAGGAAGGAGCGACAGAGAAGCCCCGGCCUUUGGAGACACGUCCCUAAACCAGUCAGACAGUCUCAGUGAGGAGGAGACCAGACAAUUUGUGACAUCCCAACGACACAGAUGCUGCGGAUCAGGGUUGACGCUGCGGUGCUGGUGCCUUGUGCAGACAACAAGCGUCUUCUGCAGGCGUUCCGCUGAGGAGAUGGGCUCACCUUCAAAGAGACAAAACACAAAAUGCAUCGGAGCACGGAGAACACAGUGCCACGCGAAGCAGGGACAGGGAGGCAGUAUACAGUUGAUGGGAAGAUGAAGAGGCAUACAAGGCAAUCCUGGGAGAAACCUGUUGGUAACUGUGAAAGACUUGAGGACGUUGGGGAGGUUCACCUUCCAGCAGGACAACGACCCUAAAACAUACAGCCUGAGCCAACGUAUGUUAGAUUAGCUCAGACUUAACAGAAAAUCUGUGGGGAGACUUAAAAAUGUAUGUUCUCAGACGCUCUCCAACCAAUCUGGCUGAACUUUAGCUAUUGUGCAAAGAAAAGAAAAAAAAAAAAAAGCCAAGACAUUGAGUCUCUAGAUGUGUAGAGUUGGCAUAGGGCACAACCCGAAAGA